UGAUAAUGAACUGAACCUCGGAAACUGUAUAUCCCUGGAGUGAAGAAAAUUCUUCUGUCAAGACUUUAAUACCUGAGUUCACCCUCAUAAGUACUUCAAAUCUUCUGCCCUUCCUCCAAAAAAUGAAAAGGCAGACAGAAAAGCAAGCAAG